AAUAUCCAACAGCACCACCCUGGAGGAGGAUAAGAGAGAACAUUGGAGAUAGAACAUGCUAAAAUGAUUCCAUAUUUGCCAAAGAAAUAUGUCCAAGAACUCCAAAUAAACCACACAACAAGAAAUCAUAGAAACUUUCCUGCCCAGGGUAGCUGCAACAUAUAUAUAUAUUGGUAUAAUUCCUUGCAUCUGCUCCAACUACACAUCAU
rnacentral:misc_RNA from 1 species